rnacentral:rRNA from 1 species
CCCUUAGAUGUUCUGGGCCGCACGCGCGCUACACUGAAUGGAUCAACGUGUUUUCCCUUCCCGAGAGGGACGGGUAACCCGCUGAACCCCAUUCGUGGUAGGGAUCGGAGCUUGCAAUUGUUCUCCGUGAACCAGGAAUUCCCAGUAAGCGCAAGUCAUAAGCUUGCGUUGAUUACGUCCCUGCCCUUUGUACACACCGCCCGUCGCUCCUACCGAUUGAAUGGUCCGGUGAAGCGCUCGGACCGCGGCCUCUUGACGGUUCGCUGUCGAUUGGCUGUGGGAAGUUCGUUAAACCUUAUCAUUUAGAGGAAGGAGAAGUCGUAACA